ACAAAAUUUGAAUCCACUUUAGGCGGUGGAUCACUUGGCUCGUGCGUCGAUGAAGAACGCAG
rnacentral:rRNA from 1 species